rnacentral:rRNA from 1 species
ACAGGUGGUCAGGUAGAGAAUACUCAGGCGCUUGAGAGAACUCGGGUGAAGGAACUAGGCAAAAUAGCACCGUAACUUCGGGAGAAGGUGCGCUUACGGUAGUUAAAGUCCGAAACGGAUGGAGGUGAAGUAAGUCGAAGAGACCAGCUGGCUGCAACUGUUUAUUAAAAACACAGCACUCUGCAAACACGAAAGUGGAGGUAUAGGGUGUGAUGCCUGCCCGGUGCUGGAAGGUUAAUUGAUGGUGUAAUCGGAAGAGAAGCAUCGGAUCGAAGCCCCAGUAAACGGCGGCCGUAACUAUAACGGUCCUAAGGUAGCGAAAUUCCUUGUCGGGUAAGUUCCGACCUGCACGAAUGGCAUAAUGAUGGCCAGGCUGUCUCCACCCGAGACUCAGUGAAAUUGAAAUCGCCGUGAAGAUGCGGUGUACCCGCGGCUAGACGGAAAGACCCCGUGAACCUUUACUAUAGCUUGACACUGAACCUUGAAUUUUGAUGUGUAGGAUAGGUGGGAGGCGAAGAAGCGGUAACGCCAGUUAUCGUGGAGCCGUUGUUGAAAUACCACCCUUUAAGGUUUGAUGUUCUAACGAAGAUUACGAAACGUGGUCUCGGACAGUGUCUGGUGGGUAGUUUGACUGGGGCGGUCUCCUCCCAAAGAGUAACGGAGGAGCACGAAGGUUUGCUAAUGACGGUCGGACAUCGUCAGGUUAGUGCAAUGGUAAAAGCAAGCUUAACUGCGAGACGGACAAGUCGAGCAGGUGCGAAAGCAGGUCAUAGUGAUCCGGUGGUUCUGAAUGGAAGGGCCAUCGCUCAACGGAUAAAAGGUACUCCGGGGAUAACAGGCUGAUACCGCCCAAGAGUUCAUAUCGACGGCGGUGUUUGGCACCUCGAUGUCGGCUCAUCACAUCCUGGGGCUGAAGUAGGUCCCAAGGGUAUGGCUGUUCGCCAUUUAAAGUGGUACGCGAGCUGGGUUUAGAACGUCGUGAGACAGUUCGGUCCCUAUCUG